UGCUUUUCCUCAGGGUCCAAUGACAGGAUAAAUCCUUUGGUUUUAUCUUUUGCAGGAUCUUUCUCAUUAGAGGCUCUUGAGACACAUUUUGGGACUCAGUCAACUGUAUGACACUGUACUGCCAGCCUUUUGGGUGUCAUCAGGAUGGAUUCCUUGGCUUGUGGAAAUACUAUUUUCUCUUCCUGCCUUCGGGUGACUGUACAAACUUUAAAAAAGGAGCCCAGCUGCCACACAGCUCCACGCAGGGUGUCUCGCCAAAAUGCAAAGUUUCACCACAGCUCACAAGCAGACACUGUUUUUCAAGUGAGGAAACAGAGUGCGGUGCCUUUCAGCACCUUUUCCGGCACUUCUUUAAAAAAUGAUUUAAAUUGGAGGCAAUGACACCAAAUGCUGAACAUCUGACACUCAGACAAGAUUUAAUGAAUCAUUCACUUGAACAGCACCACUCUUCUCC
rnacentral:lncRNA from 1 species